rnacentral:rRNA from 1 species
GAGUUUGAUCGUGGCUCAGGACGAACGCUGGCGGCGUGCUUAACACAUGCAAGUCGAACGAGAAUCUACUGAAAGAGUUUUCGGACAAUGGAGUAGAGGAAAGUGGCGGACGGGUGAGUAACGCGUGAGGAACCUGCCUUGAAGAGGGGACAACAGUUGGAAACGACUGCUAAUACCGCAUGAUGCAUAAGGGUCGCAUGAUUCUUAUGCCAAAGAUUUAUCGCUUCAAGAUGGCCUCGCGUCUGAUUAGCUAGUUUGGCGGGGUAACGGCCCACCAAGGCGACGAUCAGUAGCCGGACUGAGAGGUUGAACGGCCACAUUGGGACUGAGAUACGGCCCAGACUCCUACGGGAGGCAGCAGUGGGGAAUAUUGGGCAAUGGGCGCAAGCCUGACCCAGCAACGCCCGCGUGAGGGAAGAAGGCUUUCGGUAUGUAAACUUCUAUCAGCAGGGAAGAAAA